rnacentral:rRNA from 1 species
AAAUGAAUAGACGGGGGCCCGCACAAGCGGUGGAGCAUGUGGUUUAAUUCGAUGAUACGCGAGGAACCUUACCAGGUCUUAAAUGGGAAUUGACAGUUUAGGAAACUAGACUUUCUUCGGACAAUUUUCAAGGUGCUGCAUGGUUGUCGUCAGCUCGUGCCGUGAGGUGUUAGGUUAAGUCCUUCAACGAGCGCAACCCCUAUCACUAGUUGCCAGCGAGUCAAGUCGGGGACUCUAGUGAGACUGCCGGUGUAAACUGUGAGGAAGGUGGGGAUGACGUCAAAUCAUCACGGCCCUUACGACCUGGGCCACACACGUGCUACAAUGGCCAGUACAGAGAGCAGCCACUACGUGAGUAGGAGCGAAUCUAUAAAACUGGUCUCAGUUCGGAUUGGAGUCUGCAACUCGACUCUAUGAAGCUGGAAUCGCUAGUAAUCGCAUAUCAGCCAUGAUGCGGUGAAUACGUUCCCGGGCCUUGUACACACCGCCCGU